UACGUAGGGCGCAAGCGUUUAUCCGGAAUUAUUGGGCGUAAAGAGCUCGUAGGCGGUUUGUCGCGUCUGCCGUGAAAGUCCGGGGCUCAACUCCGGAUCUGCGGUGGGUACGGGCAGACUAGAGUGAUGUAGGGGGAGACUGGAAUUCCUGGUGUAGCGGUGAAAUGCGCAGAUAUCAGGAGGAACACCGGUGGCGAAGGCAGCUUGCUGGGGACGGUACUGACGCUGAGGCGCGAAAGCGUGGGGGAGCAAACAGG
rnacentral:rRNA from 1 species